GCCAUUGGUGACUAUUACUCGUUUCAUUGGCGUCAUUCAAUCCACCUCUCGUCCUUCGGCCCACGCCAGAAGAAGACGAAGAGAGAACAGAGCAGUUUCUCAAUUCCUAGUUCCGUAGGAUGCCACCCUCGCCUCUGGCCAACUCCUCCGCUAGUCCUUGCCACGGAGUCGCCUCCUCAUCUUCCGCCGCUGCAUCCUUUUCCCCGCUCCGUCUUCUCUCCUUCAAGGAGCCUGGCGUCAUAGGAACCGGGAUUCAGAUCGCCGCUUUUCAGCGGAGGAAGAGUUCCUCCAGUCGCUCGAUUUGCGGACCUAAGAGGCACAUCGUGGUUAAAUCAGUUGUUACUCCAAAUCCCUUAGUAGAGUUGCCUCUAACUGCUGAAAAUGUGGAGUCAGUAUUGGAUGAAGUACGACCAUAUCUUAUUGCUGAUGGAGGAAAUGUGGUACUUCAUGAGAUAGAUGGGAAUGUCGUAAGGCUAAAACUACAAGGUGCAUGUGGGUCUUGUCCAAGUUCAGUGAUGACUAUGAAGAUGGGAAUUGAACGCCGGUUAAUGGAAAUGAUUCCAGAAAUUGUUGCAGUUGAACCGAUAACUGAUCAGGAGACAGGGCUCCAGCUAAAUGAAGAAAACAUUGAGAAGGUACUUGAUGAGAUAAGGCCAUACCUUGCUGGAACUGGUGGUGGUGAGCUUGAGUUUGUCAAAAUUGAGGAGCCCAUCGUUAAGAUUCAACUAACUGGCCCAGCUGCCGGCGUCAUGACUGUUCGUGUGGCAGUAACUCAGAAGCUACGCGAAAAGAUACCUGCCAUUGCUGCUGUUCAGCUUCUAUCAUAGCGUUCAGGAGUAGAAGUUUAGCAAUAUCUGUCUUUUGGACACUGGUGGCCCCUGAAAGAUCUUGGAGCUGAUUGAGCUUGGCUGCGAGUAAAAGGGUAACCUUGGUGUCGCCCACUGCGACUGGUCAGAGGCGUUGUUUGGGGUCAAGGGCAACAGGAAGAUUUGUACAUAUAAUAUCACACCAACUUGCUGUUCUACAACAAUGGUUGGCCUGUCCUUGUUAGAUGGAUGUGUAAUUGUGUGAAAUUGGAAAUCUGGAAGACUGCAUUACACAAUUAAAUUAUUGAAUACCUGGUGUUCUCUGCUUGAGAUACAAGACGAAGAUAAUAUGUUGCUUGUUCAUUUUCAAGAGGACAUGAGCACAGAAGGAACAAGUGACGGCGAGAUUCCUCCAUUGAAGAAAGAGGUGACAUGGAAGGAGUCCUCAAAGAGGGCAGCAAUGACCAUGGCAAGGCGGGCUACGGUUGCAUAUGCCUACAUGAAACGAAGGAGCAGGUGAGGAUGAUGAUUUUUUUCACAAGUGCAGAGGUUGACAAUCUUGAGAGGGGGAUGAGAUUUGGUGGCUUCAUCUUCUCCCAGUUUGGAAGGCUUGCUUAUCAUCUUGGAAAAUACAGAGGGAAUAGAAAGGCUUUGAUACCAUAUCAAAUAGAUUAAUUAUAUUGUAUUUCAUGGAUAUGAACAUCAUACAACACAAAUUAUGAUACAAGGGUUAUAUAUGGUAAUCAUUCCAAGCCAUACAUCAACUUGGUCGAUA